rnacentral:rRNA from 1 species
AUGCCGGCGCCCUCAGCGUCCUUGUUCCCGAACUUGAAGAACCUCACUCUGCCGCUCUCCCUCGCCGGCGCCACCUUGCUCAACAGCGACGGCCGCAGCCACGCUGCGCCGCCGCCCAGCUGCGGGGUCCUCAGCACUCCCCCCACCGCCCGCGGCGACCUCCACCCGGAAGACGAGGACGCCGCCUUGGUCGCGAGCUGGAUGGUGCACGGGAUGGAGGCCAUGGCGCUUUGCGGCUUGUUGGAGCGCGAGCAGGUCUGGGAGCGAGAGGUGGAGAAUGGCAGAGAUAUAUGCAAGGGAAAGGAUAAGCAGCACCGAACUGUUUGGUGUGUACUUUGGCUGUGUGUGAAGACUGAAGAGCUUAGCCUGAACUUUCUGAAUCUUUUGCCUGCCUUCCUGUUUGGAGAUAUAUUGGACACUAGAGAUAUUCCGAAAGUGCACUAG